rnacentral:rRNA from 1 species
UCAGUCGACUCCUACGGGGAGGCAGCAGUGGGGAAUAUUGCACAAUGGGGGAAACCCUGAUGCAGCCAUGCCGCGUGUGUGAAGAAGGCCUUCGGGUUGUAAAGCACUUUCAGUAGGGAGGAAGGUAGUGUAGUUAACACCUGCAUUAUUUGACGUUACCUACAGAAGAAGCACCGGCUAACUCCGUGCCAGCAGCCGCGGUAAUACGGAGGGUGCGAGCGUUAAUCGGAAUUACUGGGCGUAAAGCGCAUGCAGGCGGCUUGUUAAGUCAGAUGUGAAAGCCCGGGGCUUAACCUCGGAAUUGCAUUUGAAACUGGCAGGCUAGAGUCUUGUAGAGGGGGGUAGGAAUUUCAGGUGUAGCGGUGAAAUGCGUAGAGAUCUGAAGGAAUACCAGUGGCGAAGGCGGCCCCCUGGACAAAGACUGGCGCUCAGAUGCGAAAGCGUGGGGAGCAAACAGGAUUAGAUACCCUGGUAG